rnacentral:rRNA from 1 species
CCUACGGGUGGCAGCAGUGGGGAAUAUUGCACAAUGGGGGAAACCCUGAUGCAGCGACGCCGCGUGAGUGAAGAAGUAUCUCGGUAUGUAAAGCUCUAGCAGCAGGGAAGAAAAUGACGGUACCUGACUAAGAAGCCCCGGCUAACUACGUGCCAGCAGCCGCGGUAAUACGUAGGGGGCAAGCGUUAACCGGAUUGACUGGGGGUAAAGGGAGCGUAGACGGCGCUGCAAGUCCGGAGUGAAAGCCCAGGGCUUAACCAUGGUACUGCUCGGGAAACUGGGGAGCUUGAGUGCGGGAGGGGCAGGCGGAAUUCCUAGUGUAGCGGUGACCUGCGUAGAUAUUAGGCGGAACCCCGGCUGCGACGGCGGCCUGCUGGACCGUAACUGACGUUGAGGCUCGACAGCGUGGGGAGCACACAGGAUUAGCUACCCUAGUAGUC